rnacentral:rRNA from 1 species
AACGAACGCUGGCGGCAGGCCUAACACAUGCAAGUCGAGCGAGGACUCCGGUCCUAGCGGCGGACGGGUGAGUAACGCGUGGGAACGUGCCCUUUGCUUCGGAAUAGCCCUGGGAAACUGGGAGUAAUACCGGAUGAGCCCUUCGGGGGAAAGAUUUAUCGGCGAAGGAUCGGCCCGCGUUGGAUUAGGUAGUUGGGGGGGUAAUGGCCUACCAAGCCGACGAUCCAUAGCUGGGUUGAGAGGAUGGUCAGCCACACUGGGGCUGGGGCACGGCCCAGACUCCUACGGGAGGCAGCAGUGGGGGAUCUUAGACAAUGGGGGAAACCCUGAUCGAGCCAUGCCGCGUGAGCGAUGAAGGCCUUAGAGUUGUAAAGCUCUUUCAGCUGGGAAGAUAAUGACGGUACCAGCAGAAGAAGCCCCGGCUAACUCCGUG